GUUGUUGUUGUGUUUGGGCAGAUAAAAAAGAUGAUGGCGGGGAUCAUCAACAGCCCCUAAUCUAAUCCCCUUGAUUGCUGAUGAUGGAUGGAGUGGACGGAUGGAUGGAUGCUAAUUUCUUUGUGCACAGUGAAGGAGGGAUUUAUUGAGAGUAGUAGUGCAACGGUUGGUUGUUGGUUGUUGUUGGGACGGACACAAGAGAAGAGAAGAGAAGAGAAGAGUGGCAUUAUGUUUUUGGUGGUUUGGUCUCUGCAUCUGCAUUUUGUGGUUCAUGAAUGAAUGAAUGAAUGCAGUAAGUAGUGCAGUGCAGUCAGCAGGUGCUGGGUGUUGCAGUUAAUUAGGAGUAUAUUUCUUGAGUGUGUGUGUGUGUAUAAUAAUCUUCAUUCUAGCUAGUUUCCUGUGUUGUUGUGGGAACUGCUUACAUUUCAACUUGAUGGAGCCUUUGCACUCGACUCGAGAUUAGACUGCAUGCAAACACAGAUUCAUCAAUCAAAUGGUAAAGUAGAGGGGAACUUGAAUUGCCUCCCUCCCUCCCUUCACAUGUACUCCCUCCGUCCCAAAAUUCUUGUUUUAGAAUUGUCUAGAUACGGAUGUACCUAAUACUAAAAUGUGACUUGAUACAUCCGUGUUUAGACAAAUCUAGACAAGAAUUUAAUUUUGGGACGGACGUACCAAAAUAUAAGAUGCUUUUGCUGUUAAAAUUGAACUGGUAAAACGUCUUAUAUUUUGCUAGUACGGAGGAUUGUCUCAGCCGUCCUGGGUCUUAGUUCGAUCCACGGACCACUAGCUGAACUUAACUGAAGCUUCCUCAGACUAGUUUUCUUGCCGUCGAGCACUCGAGUCCAUAAACACCCUAUAUAUAUUUUGGCAAAAUUGCAUUCUCACUGUCAGAAUUCUUUGUCGUCUUUCUUUCUUUCUAGGUACAACAAUCUUAACUGAAUAACCUCUGCCUGACCUGAAAAACACACAACAUAUAUAUGUGAUAUGCAAUGUACCCUCCACUAAUACUAGUACUUCACAAAAACAACCAGAUAGUUGCAUCUAUAGUCCCUUAUAUGAGGACAUGCACACCCUAUAUAUGUAGUCCCUUAUAUAAGAAAUCUAUUUAGGUUUUUUCUAGUGAAAAUAAAUAUAAUUAGGUAUUCAGAGUCUUUUUUUGGGCUGUACGGGCCUGUUUCUUUUGUUUUAUAGCUACAGCCCAGCUGUCUUCUGUGUGUUUUGGUUUUUUGUACGUGUUCAUAUUUUUUGGCAGACUCCUAUUUGGCGCACGCAACCUGGUGCGUACACNNNNNNNNNNNNNNNNNNNNNNNNNNNNNNNNNNNNNNNNNNNNNNNNNNNNNNNNNNNNNNNNNNNNNNNNNNNNNNNNNNNNNNNNNNNNNNNNNNNNNNNNNNNNNNNNNNNNNNNNNNNNNNNNNNNNNNNNNNNNNNNNNNNNNNNNNNNNNNNNNNNNNNNNNNNNNNNNNNNNNNNNNNGAGCCCACUGCAUACAGAAAUUUUGAAAUUUCGAAUAUUUUUAAUUCAUGAUUUUUUUCAAAUUGGUCAACAUUUUUUAAAUUUGGGCUGAACAUUUUUCGAAUUUAAAAUUUGUUUAUCGAAUUGGAAAAAGUGUUCACCAUAUUUUUGAAGUUGCGAUUUUUUUCUUAAUUCAUCAACUUUUUACAAAUUGGCAAAUACUUUUUGAAAUGGCGUACAUGGUUUUUGGAACUCAUCAACAAGUUUUUUUGCAUAAGCGAACAAUUUUGUUUAAUUCUUGAAUAAAUUUUGAAAUUUAGAAACAUUUUGUUUGUGAACAAUAUUUGAAUUCAUCAAUAUUUUUUGAAUCAGUGAACAUUUUUUGAAAAUUUACGAAAUAUAGUUUUCUAAAUCCCAAGCAUUUUUUUGAAUAUUUUCAUAAAUUCAAGGACAUUUUUUGUAUACACAAACUUUUACUUUUGAAUCAUGUGCAUUUUUGAAUCGAUGAACAUAAAAAAAAUCAAUUCAUGAAUACCAAGUGUGUGUGUGUGUGCGCGCGCGUGAUAUGUGAGGAGAUGCAUGCCCUAUAUAUUUAGUCUUUUGUACAUGUUGCGAACUUUUUUUUUGGAAUUUGCUAAGUUGCACUCCCUAUAUAUAUGUGAGGAGAUGCACUCCCAAAAUGUUCACCAUAUUUUUGAAGUUGCCAACAUUUUCUAAAUUCAUGAACUUUUUACAAGUUAGUGAAUAUCUUUUGAAACUGCGUACAUGUUUUUUGGAACUCGUCAACAAGUUUAUUUAUUUUUGCAUAGGCAAAUAUUUCUUGAAAUUUGUGAAGAACUUUUGAAAUUCAUAAACAUUUUUUAUUGACGAACAUUUUUGAAUUCAUCAAUACUUUUGUUGUAGACACAACGUUUUACUUUUUAAUCAUGAACAUUUUGUGAAUCGGUGAACACUUUUUUAAAAUAAAAAUUCAUGAAUAUUUUAAAAUUGACGUAUAUUUUUAAAGAGGCGGUGAUAUCAAACCCAUUAAGGGGCGCUUGCUGGGAGAGCAAAGGGAGUGUCCACGUGGAUCCAGGAGGUUGGGCAGGAAGCUGCAUGUUGGUUGGGCCACAUGGUGCGUGCUGAUUGGGGAGAAAAAGGAGCAGUAGGUUGCAUGUUGAUUGGAGCACUUGUUGCAUGUUGAUUGGAGAGAAAAAAGGAGCACUAAUUGGGACCUUUGAUGCAUGCACAUACUUUGUACACACAACCUUUGUCAUGCACAUUCAUGCUAUUAGUGAUCUUCAUGCUCUUAUAUUUGUUUACGGAGGGAGUAGAAUAUAAUGUGUGCAUACAAACAUAUAUUAAAAAUCUUAUCUCAAAAUUGCUGGUUGGCCACAGUGAGAAAUCUUUUCUUAGAUUAUUUUUGCAAGAUGGAGGCGAGACUUUUUCCCUUUUUAUUUUUGAGAAAUUUUUUCUAGCCUUUUUCUUUCCCUUUUUGAGAUGAGUGUGAUGCUGACAUGAUGCGAGAAAGUUUUUUAAAAUUUUGAGAAAGGUGAGGUUUUUCUUUUCUUUUUUUCUUUAAGAUAGAGAAACGUGCACACAGCUUCUUCUCAAGCGGCCCGCAAUGGCGGGCCCCAAUCACUAUGCUUAUAGUAUAUGUAGUGCAUCCCCAUGUUAAACAAGAUCAUGCACUUGGCCUGGUUGCCCGCUCUGGCUGUGGUUGGGCAGAGCUUGUGGGUUCGAAUCCCCCAUGCGUGUCUUUUUUUCAUUUUAUUUCUCGGCCCACUGACAUAUGGGCCGCAUACGGACGUGUCCUCCACUAUAGAAAUGCGAGAUACGUAUGUGACGUGUAGAGCCAGGACUUGCAUUUCAACCUCAGGGAUCGUAUUGACCAUGUAUUUUCAUGUACCGGGACCGUAUUGAAGCAAUACGUAAGUUUCAGGAUUGAGUUGGACGUCGCCAAUGAGUAUGAGGACUAUAGAUGCAAUUAUCUCCAACAACAAUUGUUGUAUAUACAUACAUGGGUGAAUGAGACAACAACCUGCAGACUGCUCCAAGCGAUCUUAUCUUUUCAUGUCUAGUCACAGAAACCAACAUCACACUUGGUUUCAGUACGCACUCUCGAAAACUACACUUGUUGAUCUGGGCUGCGCUAACUCAACUUAACUCAGCCGUGCUGUGCUUCACUUCUUCAAAGUAGCACAUACCUUUCUUCACGUUGCACAUAGCCCAUGGGCCUCAGAAGCAGGGACACUAAACACUGGUACGAUCGAUUAGUACGCAGCCUCAAGGGCCUAGCAGCUGGAUGGAGCGAAUCCACGAUGAUGGCGAGAAGUUUGCCGUAAUUUGCCAGUUUUACGAGGCUAAGGCCCUGUUUGGAUACUCUAACCCAAAUAAGCACCUCUCCAUCGGGAUAGUUGGGUUAGAUGGAAUUAACCCAGGGUUAUUUGAGCCCCCAACUAACCCAAACUAGCUCUAACCCCAUGAUCCAAACAGGGCCUAAGCCGCAACGAUCCUGAUCCCGACCCCAGGCUCUACAGGUCGCGAGACGAGUUGCUGGCGCUGGACGAACCGCCGCUAGGGUUCAGUACUCCGACGAACUCCGCUCCGCUAUCUAGUUUUUUAGGCGCUGGACGCGCACGCCCGUUGCCGAGCGCUUCCGGACAGAGCGAGAUGCAAAUUCACAUCGUGUUAUCAUUGAGAUGAGAACUGACCGAUCCAAGGUACUGCUGAAAUUUGAGAUGAGCUCUAGACCCAUAUAGCAAUUUCUGAAAAAUCUCUAAGGACCCAUGUGGGUUAUAUGGCAUUAGGUGUAGUGAGAAGUUUAGUCUCACCCUGAAAGUAGAAGAGGAGUUGGACCUCCUUAUAAGGGUUUCUUUUCUACAUGCUAUUGGAGCUUGAGAAGAGAAGAGGCCCUCGCGCACUCCUCCUCCGCCGCCCGCCUCGCCACGCCUCGACGCGGGAUGGAGCCGAGCCGAGCUCACACCUACGCGCUUAUUUUUGCCAGUCACUAACGGAGAGUUCUCUGACAGCUGGGCCACGAUCUGAGACGUCGGAUCAUGGGCUGUCACGUACUCGGACGUGGGUCGAGCCCACGUCUCUCCACGCGGCUGCGCUUAUAUGCGGUGUAUCCUAACCCUAGCCGCCACGAACAGAUCACAUCUGCUCCACGCGCAUGCCCACCGUUGUUCCCUUGCUGCUGCUGCCACCGGUGACUCCAUCCCUUCCGCCGCGUACACGGUCGACGGGAGAGCAGGUCUCCGAAACCACGCCCUUCUGGUUCCUGUACGGGGUGAGGGGCGAAUAGGUUUUUGGGCAGCGAUUACGCGACUGCUCACUUCUGAUCGUCUACUUCCUCUACGUCCGCGUCACCUUCAUCAUCAUCAUGUCCGCCGACGCCGAACGUGCCGCCGCCGAGAAAGCUGAAGCUGACAAGAAGGCCGCCGAGGACACCGCUGCUGCCACCAAAGCCGCGGCCUCUGCAUGGCCUACUGGAGGGUAUAACUCGUUUUUCCCGCUCCUACUAUUUUCUGUUUUAGCCAUGCUAGCGUUAUACGUAGAUCUUUCUGCAAUUAGCGUAGUAUGUACUAGUUUGACUGAAUAUCAGUAUGCGUUUAUUUGUGUCAAUGCCAUGCUAGUGAUUUACUCGUGGACUAAUUUAAUCGAGAAAUUGCCUAUUUACUCAACAGGUACUCCUAUAUCAUAUCUUUAAUUUAUCACUUCCUAUGCUAGCUCUAUCAGCAUAUCUAUCUAUCUAUCUAUCUAUCUAUCUAUCUAUCUAUCUAUCUAUCUAUCUAUCUAUAGAUUCACGUUCGCUCGUCUGCUGCAUUGUGUUGUGUGACGUGAUUAGCUCCAUCAGUUAAUCGUGACGCAUCUCGUAAGAUUCACAAACAUAGGUCUACAAGAGCCCCAUAGUUCCUGCACUGGCCCUUACCCUGGCGCGCAUAGCAUGGAAGGCAGGCUGUCAUACUAUAUUAGCGUUCUAUGUGCAUUGAGUAAGUAAUUUAUCUUCAUAUACAUCAUGCAUUGUGCAAGUUUUGAGGCAAAUUUUUAGCGCUUUGAGUUAUGAUGACGAUUAAAAAGUAUGUGUAGAGAUUCCGGCAGUGACACACUAUUUGUAUUUAUUUUUCUCCCUCUUAAUAUAUAGGCAACUCAGUUGCCAUUCCCUAAAAAAGUGUAUUGAAAAAUGUGGGUUCUAUGUAAUAAAAAGCAAACCUUUGAAUUCUUAUUGAGAAGAAGUUUUUGAUGAUAAAUAUUUUCAGUGAUAAAAAUUCAUUGCGAAGGAGAGAGUAUAGGAAGGGCCCUGAGAUUAAAAAACUCAGUGCUAAAAAUUCAUUGCAAUGGAGGGAUAUAUGAAAGGGCCCUGAGUUUUAGGUUCGCCUCGGGCCCCCAAAAUCUCAGGACCGGCCCUGCUUUCUUCAUUGAAUGUUAACUAGAUGACUUGUUGCACCAAUGGCGCAAAGCCUGAGAGGGAGCCAAGUAUGGUGAGAAUAUUUAGACACCCAAGUCGAAAACCAAAUGUGGCCAACACUCCCGCAUCCUCUGCUUGGAAGCCGCCUUUUCUCACCGCAGCUAACAUAGAUACAUGAUUCUUCAAGAGCAAAUUUCAGAGAAAAUAUAAAGCAUGAAAGCUUUAAGUUGUACUAUUGAGACCAUACCACGAUAUCUUCAUUUAGUUUCUUUGGAAAUCUAAAGGUCUAAGAGGAUGGUACAUGUGAGAAGCUGUGAAUCCAUAACAAAAAACUAAACUAACUUCCAAACAAACAUUUCAAGUUUGGAAGCCACAAAGAUGCGGCCCAGAUCUCUCAUUGUAGGGCAGGUACAUGUCCUUAAUCCUGCAUCCACAACCCAUAAUUUUUCAACACCUAAAUCCAUGAAAUCCAAACAAAGGAAAUCAUGGCAGAAACAUGCGUCGUGGCUUACGUCUCGGAGAAGGACUUCUUGGCAUUCUUGUACAGGUUGGACACAGCAAUCCUCGCUGCGAGCCCAUCAUUUCAGUCUUCUUUAAUCUCUAGCUGAACCAAAUAACAAAAGCUUAAGCUUAAGCAUCCACACACAGAGAAAAUGCAAAACAAAUCUCACAUAAAACUGUCCCAAGUCAGAUACAGGGGAAACCAAGGUGAGAUGAUCAUGUUUCUUAUAGGAAACAAUAACCAUAGGUAAAUACAUACAUUAUUGUCCUGUCAGAAGGUACUUAGUUGUACUUCAAGUGGUACUGGGACAUGAAACUAAGCCAUUGAAAUUUUUGUAACAGAAUAGAUGAUAACACCAGUGUAGGCCAUGAACAAAAAUACAAAGAAGAACAUAAUCAAGCAUAACCCACCUCGACCGAAGCAACGGCUGAUCAACAGCAGGAACCUGAACCUCGUGAUGCUAGACCAGAUAUCUAUGGUUACCCAUUUUAUUUCUCCCGCCUAACCUGAAGUAGUUAUCUGGACAAAUUAGGGAGGCACACUUAAACAAAUCAGUUCUUAGUAAUUAUAGAAUGCCCUGUAUUAAAGGAAGUAAAAUAAAGCAUGUAUGUGCUCUAACUUUCAUAACUGCAUGUGAACUCAGCAACUAACUUUAUAUACCAUAGUGUACAAUUCUCAAGUUUAGCUACAGAGACAAAAACAGGGACAGAGGGCGUGCAUUCCAGUAGGCUCUGAUAAACUCAUUCCUAGCAAUCCAUUCCUUAUAUGUGUAAACAGGAACGCUACCCAAUUGCUUAUAUCAAGAAUGACCAAAAGAAGCAAACCGAGCACAACUCUAUAACCACAUCAUUUUAAAAAAUUCUCUUAUCUAAGCUAAUGAAGCCUGCUCGUUUUCUUUUUGGAUAAAGCCAGUUCGGUCAGUUAGGAGAAAAAAAGCAAUUAAUAAAAUUACCCAAACUAAACAAUCUUCUAAUCUGCUUUAAUGGAACAUAAUAAGCAUUUGCUGCUGCUCUUUAUAUGAUAUACUGGACCCCUUUACAGGCGGUUAUGCAUGCACAUUUUACACAGUAGCCUGCAUAACCCACUCAGCUUGCUUACAUAAUUUAACAGGCUAAUAAGGAGACAAAGGCUGACAGCAUUAAAAAAGACAAGGCGCAUCAUAAUCUCACCAGACAAGAACAAGUGGUAGGCCAUUAAACAAAGCAAACAAAGCAUGUAGCAAGAAGCAAUGAAGUGCAUCAAUAAGAACACAUCUAACCUUGCAAAAGUAUGACCGGUCCGGACGUCAGGAAACCUGGACAGGAAGAGAAAGAAGCAACGAACAAACAUUUCAGCUCAAACACAUUUUAUCAAACAGCAGACGAGCAAGAAAUAUCUUACCUUUCCAAACAGAAAUAUCUUACAUUUUAUCAAACAGUAGCCUGAUAAACAAGAAGUUGGAUGACCCUGCAGCAACAAGAUAAAGAGAAGUGAGAACAAGAAAACCGAAGAGCACGAGGACAUGGAAAGCAAAGCCGGCCGAAGCGACGCAUGCAAAAGAAAAAAACGACGGUGACACUAAUACGGAGAAGAAGAGCUGCAACCUCAACCGGUUUGACAACCAGGAGAAGUCCGUGUGGACGAGGCCGAGGCCGCCCGCCAGGACCAGCUCCAGCGCGAGUUCCACGUCUGCCUCAUCGCGCUGCGCCACAAUCGGGGCCUCNNNNNNNNNNUAGAAUUUUUUUUUGUAUUAUGUUUUAGAUUGGAAAAAAAUAGAGCUUUGGUUUGGACUUCCUACGCAAGGAAAGAUUUUGAUUCACGUCCAAAACCCUAGUUUGGGUCUAACUCGGAACCCGAACUUUCCAAAACUAUCUGGUUUAAAAGCUAGCUGCAUGUUGCGGGUCACUUUUGAGGUAGUAAACAACCUCGGUUGGAAAUGACGCCAAAAUCAUAUUUAUUCGUUUUGACGAGACAAACAGUUUUUAUGUUGAACGUUUUUUGAUUCGAAGCCAUCUUGAGAGCCAAAUCGCUCUCGCAAAAUAGGCAAUCAAUGGCGCUACCCAUCAAACAUCAGCUAUAUGGGUAUCUGAUGGGGUGCGCCACAAUUUGCUUGUGGUAGGGCUGCACUUUAAUGGCUCUAACUUGUGCAUACAACCUCGGAUUAUGACAUGUAGCAUAUUUUUUGUUGUUGUGUAGCAUCAUGAGCAAAUCUAUGACUAGAUGCAUGUAUGAUUAGGGCAUAUGGUGAUAUGCGGCAUUGGCCGUAUGUGCGGGGUGAUUACUGGAUGUAUAUGCGGCAUUGGACAUAUGUGUGGGGUGACUAGAUGCACGUAUGAUUAGGUCGAUGUACACCUAGCAAUUCAUUAAUAAAGUUAGCUCCUUCACAAAGCAAGGAUUGAUGUACCUACUCACAUUGAGAGAGAGAGUUUUUAAGUUAAAUCAGUUUUUCACUUACCCUUUUGUUCUUUUACUUUCGAAUAAUUUUUUAUUGCAGACGAGAAUCCAUCUGCAUACGGGUUCCCUUGGCCAUCAUCCGACGAUCAAACCAUCGAUGACCUAGAAGUAAUGAGCAUGGGGCGGCGUCCGGUGGCGGUGACCUCUGCGCCAUGUGGCCCUGCCUCCUCAAACACCCCUAAACCCAUCCGGAGCCUCAAACCCCCCUAAAACCACCGGGCGGAUGUCAUGGUAAAAAUAUAGCGACCCAGGCGAGUAGUAUGGGACGAUGGAGCUUGAUGAAAUGAUUCAAAAAAAGAAAGAAAAGAAAGCUGAGCAACCAUCAAAGGGAUAUGGUGUGAGUCUUCUCUGGUUGGUUAUAUGCAGAGAAGAUAGAAUAUUUUUCUUUGGGUAUAAGCCGAGAAGAUACACAUAAUAAUAGUUCAUAUCCAUCACAGUGUGCAAUGAUGAUUGAAGCUUACCACUUUUAGACGAUACGGCUAUUUAAGGCGCUCCUCGCGUGGUGAGGCGGGACUAAACCAUUGCCGAGUUUGUUCUAUCAAAAACUUGGCAAAUCCUGAACCUGACAUUCCAAUUUUUCAAAAAAAUGAAAAAAGGAAAAUGUUUACCAAGUGUCGAAAGUCUGCAAAGAUGUGACCCCUGGAAUUUCUAUUAAAAAAAAUAAAAAAUGGAACAUGCCUGUCGAGUCUUUGUUAGACGAAACUCGGCAAACAAAGGCCGCGUCACGGUUCCGUCGCCUGCUGUACAGUAGGGCCCACUGGUCAGGCUUUUGCAAGUUUUUUCCUCACCGAAAAUCGGUUUUAUUUGAGAUUCUGCCGAGUUUAUUUAGUUCGCCGAGUCGUUUUUCGUUGGAACCAGGCAAAGCCAGAGUUUUGCCAAGUAGUUUAUCACUGCCAAGUUUAAUUUUGAAUCAAACUCUAGUUUGCUGAGUUUUCGAUAAAGUGGACUCGGCGAAGUUCUGGAAGUCGGGAUAAAACCAGAUUCUAAGGGGGUGUUUGUUUCCAGGGACUUUUUUGUGUAAGGACUAGAAAAAGUCCCUCUUAGAGACUUUUUUAUCAAACGGGAGGGACUUUUCAGGGACUAAACUAGGCAUUUGGGACUAAAUGAAGAAGACUCUCAAGGAGAGUCUUUUUUGGGACUUUUCGAACAACGCUCCUCCAUGCAUUCAAUGGCCGCCACCCCAUGAUGUUGUUUGAUUGUUAUUGUUUUAUAUACUAGGGACAACAUGGUCAUUUAAUAACCUCUAGGAAGGGACUAGGGACUUUUUAGUCUCUGGAAACAAAUAAGGAGAGACUUUUUAAGAACUAGAGACUUUUUAGUUGGGACUAGAAAAAGUUUUAGGACUUAUGAACCAAACAGGGCCUAAUAGUGACGAGCUGCCGACAUGCAUGAAAAUUUUGGCCCACCGAAAUGCAUGCGAGAGUCAUAUAUUUUGGGAGCACCAACAUCAACAUAUAUAUAUGGCCCACAAAGAAGAGUCCGCUCCGCACCCUCCCUCUCGUCUUCCAAGAAAACAUCGCGAACGUGUGGCUGCGGACGGCGACAGCGACAGCGACGGCGAGCUGAGCAGCGCGCCGCCUCCCAUUCCCCUGGUCACUGUCGUCGCCCUCCCACUUCCGGCAUCGCAACGCAACGCAAGCAACGAGAUCGAUCGACAAUGAGCGAUCAAAAUUAAACCCAUGCAUCAGGUAAUUAUUACUCUAGUAUUAAUUAAGCUUCUCAUGUCGAUCGACGACGUACUCUUUAAUUUAAUUUGGUUGGUGCAUCAGAUUCAGAUCCAAUACCCUGAUGUAAAUAUCAUCAGAUCCAAUACACUGCUAGCUAGUACUAGUACUUUCGUCCUGGUUUAUUGGCCCUUCAUAUUUAGUGUCAAAUUUUGAUAAUAGAUUUAACUAACAAAACGUCAAUGCAGGUCAUAAAAAACUGUAUUCUCAUGGUAUAAUUUUUUAUGACAUGCAUUGACAUUUUGUUAGUUAAAUCUAUGAUCAAAAUUUAACACAAAAUACGAGAGGGACUAAUAAAUCAGGACAUAUGUAGUAGCUAGCUAGAUGCCAGAUUAUGUCUUUCUUCUUCCUUCCCCCUGAUUUAAAGUGUCAUAUGCAUAUAUAGCACGCUAUUCACCCAAGACUAGAAGAGAAUGGCUGCAUCUGACAAGACAUAUAUGUCGCUGGUGCGCACAACGGUGCAAGAGCUGGCGUGGUUGAUAAGGUGUUGGCCGCUGAUGAGAUGCCAGAGCCCAUCCCUCUCAUCGAUCUUAACCGGCGAGCUAUUUUACGGUACCCUGGUACUCCCAAAACAUGUGCUGGAGUACCGAACAAAUCUAGCCGUCCGUUGUAAAAGGUAACUUAGUCUUUUUUCCAUGGGUACUUUCAAUUUUCUCCCCGUGAUCUCGCAUAGAUGCCAAAUUAGCUCCCAAAAGAAAAAAGGAACUCCAGAUCAAGUGCCAGAAAAAACUCCCGUUCGUUCGGCCAGAAAUCCCGAUCGCUCGCUGCAUCGCAAUAGAGUGGCGGCGCCACCUCAAGCCUGAUCCUUCUCUACCGCAGGCCACCGUGCCUUCUCCACACCGAUCGUCGGCUCCGCCGCGUCGCUCGUAUGGCACAUACGGAUGAGCCACCAUUGGCCAAACCUUGUACUGCGCCACGGUCGAGGAAAUGGGUCUGGCGGCUGCGCGGCAUAGGUCUUGUUCCGGCUCAUCCCCGACGCGGAUGCUUCCCCGCUACUCACCCACGAAGGACGUUCAUAACCCGCUGGCAUGGGCUCAUCCCGGCAUCUUCGGACGCUACAUGCAGAUCAAUAUAUUAGGUUUUGCUUGCAAUUGCAAAAAAAAAGGCCGCCAGAAUACAUGAGAGGUUACGAAAAUGAAUUAAUAUUAGAUUGUUAUAUUAUUAUAGUUUUGCCCCUUAUAUCAAGGUACUCCUGUACUUUUUAACUUAGUACUCUGUUGGAUGAGUGAUGGAGUACCAAGUAAUAAUGUCCGCUGGAUCAAGAGGAAUGUACGGUCUAUACUUAUUUCGGGGUACCGUAAAAGAUCUCUAACCGGCUGACGGCCGUUGACAAAGCCGACAAGCUCCGGGCGGCUCUACAGACCUGGGGCCUCUUCUUGUUGAGUGUGUGCACCCUUAAUUAGUUUCUUCUACUCCCUUCGUUCAAUUUUAUAAGUCAAAAUGUUUUCAAGGCCUUAUAAAAGUGAACAGAGGGAGUAGCUAAAAUUGUUCAACUUCUGCUGAGGUUUUUGCCCAGGCGACCAACCAUGGAAUCAAGGAGUCCCUUAUGGAUUCCAUGAUGAGUGCAUCGAAAGACUUCUUCAUGCAACCGUCUGAAGAAAAGCAGAGAUACAGCAACUUGAUAGACGGCAAGCAUUUCCAGAUGGAAGGCUAUGGAAAUGACAAAGUCGUGACCACCCAGGAGCAGGGCCUGAGCUGGAACGACCGCUUGCAUUUGAGAGUGGAGCCUGAAGACGAGAGGAAUUUCGCCAAGUGGUCCACUCACCCGGAAUCUUUCAGGGUAAUCACCUACUCCCUCUGUAAACUAAUAUAAGAGCGUUUAGAUGGCCAUCCAUUAGUUGGUCCAUGCAAAAGAUUCAGACCUACUGCUUCAACGAAGACGAAGUAGCAACCAUAUUAUACUAAUAUGCACGUCUAUUUACUACAUGAGUACGCACAUCUAUUUGAACUAAUAAGUGUGCAUACCCAAUACGCAUCUAUUUGGAUUAACAUAUUAUACUAAACUUAAUACAAGACAAUUUAUUCAUAAAUUUGAAAUUUUCUAUAAAAUACACGAUCUCUUAUUUCCAACUCGUACAAAUAAUUUGAAAUAUCAUUUCUCCUUAAUCAAUAUGUCUCCUGUAUUAAAAGAUCACCCACUUUUCUCAAUGUAUAAAAUUCAAAAUUAUUUACAAGAUUCAUCAUGAUUCUUUAUAUGCACACAUUUAUGCAAGUAUAGUCACACAUGAAAAUGUCACUUAGGACAAGCUAAGGAACUGUUUCAGUGCCAACAAAUUCCAGUCAAGAACUACACAAGAUUGUCAUGAACAUAUACAGAGAUAAGUGACCUCUCUUUCUCCGAGAUUGAUCGAACAACAGGUUUUUGUAUAUAUCUAUCCGACACUACUACAUAUAUACCAGGUCCUGAUAAUUGCUGCAUGGCCUCCACCGAACCAAUCGUUUCCGCAGAUCAUUUCUUAUAGGUAACCUCCACCCGCCGAUGAUCCCAUAGCCCGUCGUCAGGCUGGGAGUAGUGAACGUCCACUAGCAAAUAUAAAUAGGAACAAGACAGGCCUGCCUAAAUGAGUAAUCUAUAGGCGAUUUCGGGCAUCCCGACCGCAAGCGAGAUGGUAGCUUUCAUGAGCGGCUUUAGGAAGCAUCUAUGGACCUGUUUAAAUCGAUUUUAGAAGCUUCCGUGUAGUUUUCUUUUUUUUUCGACAUGUUUUCAUGGUCUUCUUUGGUUUUUUCGGGUUUUAUAUUUUCCUUUGCCUUUUUUCUUUUUACCAAAUACAUGUCGACUUUUUUUAGCACAUGUUCUACAGUUUUUGUAUACACGUUGAACAAAUUUUUAAGACACAGAAAUAUUUUUUUCAUAUGAUAAACAAUUGUCACAUACAUGUUUGAACAUUUUUAGAAUACAUGUUAUACAUUUUCUAAAUACACCUUGAUUUUUUUAAUGGUAGGAAUUUUUUUAAAGCGAAACGAAUAUUUUUUAUAUUUUUUAAAAAAAACUUUCAAACAUAUUUUUGAAGUGCGUGAACAUUUUUCAAUUUUCAUGAACAUGUUUCUGAAUGAUACAAAACAUUUUUUCUAAAAUGACGUGAACAAAAUUUUUUACUUUGUCUAAACAUUUUUUUAAAUGGCAUGAAUAAAUUUUUGAAACGCAUGAACAUUUAUAGAAUUUAGGAAUAAUACGUUUUUCCAUUUCAAAAACUAAUUAAAACCAGCAGAACAGGACGUGGCUGUUUGGUCUCAUUGUGGGCCAGACAUAGCUCUGUCCGAUUUUAUUAGGCGGGCUUGGCGAUAGGCCGUCAUUUUCGUUUUUGCGUGGCCUCCAGCACUCCAGUAGGUGGAUCCUAUUUGGCGCUUCAGCGCUCGUUUGCAAACGGGCGCCGGCAAGGAUCAAACCGGGGACCUCUUCCUUCCGAGUGAAGCACACUGACCACUACACCCACGCGCCGUGUUAAUGCCUACUUCAUGUUAUAUAGUCCUAUGUAUAGGAAAUGCCCCCCCCCCCCUUUAUGUUUUCCAUGUUUAUUUUCUUUUUCUUUUUUGUCUCCUGUUUCUUUUUUCUUCUCUAAAAUUCAUGAUUUCUUCCAAUCAAAGAUUUGUUUUCGAAAUGGAUGAACUUUUUUCCAAAUUGUUUAACUUUUUUCAAAAUCAACAAACUUUUUAAAUAUUUUUGUGAUUUUUCUAAAAAAUUGAUGAGUUUUUCCAAAUAUGAUGAACUAUUUUUUAAAAUUGAUAAAAAAUUUCCAAUAUGAUGAACCUUUUUCAAAAUUCAUGAACAUUUUCUAGAUUUGAUAACUUAUUUUAAAAACCGAUGAACGUUUUUCAAAUCCGAUGAACUUUUUUGCAAAAUGGAUGUUUUUUUAGAAUCGAUGAACACUUUUAAAUUCGAAGAAGUUUUUUCUAAUUCGAGGAGUUUCUUUCCAAAUUCAAUGAACCUUUUCUAAAUCAUACACAUUUUUUAUUUCUCAAAAUUUUCAGUUUUGUACUUUUUUUUCAUUUUUUAAAGUUCAACGGAGGUGAAACAAUGCUCUUUUUUUGGAACCGGUGAAACAACGCUCGAGCGAGCGACCAGACGUGGCGAUCGAUGAAGUGAUCGAGCGCUCACCACAUGGGCCGGCACACGAGCAGGCGGCUGUGGGCGAGCGCUGCGUAGGAGCUCCCAGUCCACCACACAUUCAUUCUUUCCAUGCACAACCGUCUGGCAAACGCGCCAACCCCACACGCGAACAAGAGGAGCAUUGCUUCAAAAAAAAGAGGGGCAUGCAAUCAUGCAGUCUACUCGUAAUAAAAUAUAACCACGGCAGCCAUACAAACGCAGUUGAUGGCCUGUGCGAUGGCCACGCAUUUUUUUUCUUCAAAAUGGAGGCAAAAAAUUUGACUCAUCUAUUAAUUAAGCAGAAGAAAGUUGCCUAGUUAACUAACGGGAAACCGGGCUAAAACCGUCACAACCGCCGAGCGACAUACAUAAGAUACCCCACACACGCCCCUCUAAAGAGGGCCUCGUCGAUACAGCUCAUUGCCAUCCCUCCUCCCCUAGAAGGCGUCUUCGCCAUCCCUACACUCUGAGCAAACAACUCCGACUUCGCCGUAGGCGAUCGCCGACUCAACCCACUAUGAAUAGGCCUUGUGGAGUUGCAUGAAGAUCCAUGCCAGAACUCAGCCACCUGACAACGCAGCUCCGACUCUGAUGGAGAACUACGAAAGACAAAACCAGGCACGGCUGGCGCCACAAAAGAUCACCGAAUGGCCCAUAUGGAGCCAUUCAUCGUACGUCGCAGUGCCCCGCCACCGCAACUUCGACUCCACAGCAACAACCAAACCGAGGCAAUCCCGUGGACACGCCCUAGAAGAGCCUACUACCGCAACCAUUGCCGCGUCGCCGACAUCGCUCCCACCAUCACCGUUGCCACAGAAGCCUGGACGCCCCAACCGCCGCCAUCCACUGGUCAUGCUCGCCAAUGCUGGGCUAGAAAGACGAAGCCCCCAAGAGGGAAAACGACACUUGUAAAUUGGGAAGCAUUUUUACCUGCCGUAGCAGGCCGCGGUUUACGUGUUAAUAUAGGGAUGGAAUAGCCCCAUCCGUGGCGUACAAGAAAGAGAUCGUUCCAUACUUGAACCGUAUGAAAUAACCUCAACAAGAUCUUAUCUCUACCAACCGUACAUCAUCUAGAAGACCCUAAAAUACUUUAACAGCCCACCUCAAUCACACCUUGGUUAAGGUGAGAUUGCGUCUGAAGUCUUCUAGUUGUCGAAUUGGUAGAGAUUUAGUGAACCCGUCCGCCACCUGGUCCUUUGAAGACACAAAACGAACAUCAAGUAGUUUUCUUGCCACCCUCUCUCUGACAAAAUGAUAGUCAAUUUCGAUGUGCUUGGUGCGUGCAUGAAAGACAGGAUUAGCUGACAAAUAGGUUGCCCCAAGAUUAUCACACCAUAAACAUGGAGUAUGUUCCGUGGGCAUACCCAAUUCUCUCAAUAGUGACUGCACCCAAAUAACUUCUGCUAUUGCAUUUGCCAAGGACUUAUACUCAGCCUCAGUGCUUGAACGAGAUACUGUAGCUUGUUUCCUGGCACUCCAUGAAAUUAGAUUUGCACCAUAAAAUACUGCAAAGCCACCGGUUGAUCUUCUAUCAUCAAUACAUCCUGCCCAGUCUGCAUCUGAUAAAGCACUUAACAAAGUAGAUGAAGACUUUCUAAAUGCAAGCCCUAUGUUGAUGGUGUGUUUGACAUAUCUAAGAAUCCUCUUUACUGCUGACCAAUGAACUGUAGUUGGAGCAUGUAAAUACUGACAUACUUUAUUGACUGAGAAAGAAAUAUCUGGUCUUGUGAGAGUCAAAUAUUGUAAUGCCCCAACAAUGCUUCUAUACCUUGUACUAUCUUCUGGUUCUAGAAGCUCACCAUCAAAGGCUGAAAGUUUCUCAGUGCUUGACAAAGGUGUGGGUGCAGAUUUGCAGUCUUUCAUGCCAACUCUGGUCAAGAUUUCUGAGGCAUACUUCUCCUGUGUUAACACAAUGCCAUCUCCGGUUUUCUUGACCUCUAUCCCAAGGAAGAAAUGUAAAUCCCCCAAGUCCUUGAGUGCAAAGCUAGAGCCUAAAUCCUGUAGUAGCGCUGACACUGCUUCUUGAGAGGAGCUAGUAACAAUAAUGUCAUCAACAUAUGUGAGCAGAAAUAUUGUUACUCUAGAUUUAUUAAAAAUAAAUAGAGAGGUGUCAGCCUUUGAAGUGGUAAAGCCCAAUUCUUGUAAUCUUGAGCUUACCCGAGAGUACCAUGCUCUUGGUGCUUGCUUGAGCUCAUAUAGAGCCUUGUCCAGUUUGCACACAUGAAAGGGUGAAUCUUUGUGCUCAUAGCCUGGUGGUUGCCUCAUGUAGACCUCUUCUUCCAGAACACCAUGAAGAAACGCGUUCUGCACAUCUAGCUGUCUUAGGCUCCAUCUCCUGGACACAACAAUAGACAAAACAAGUCUGGUAGUAGCUGCUUUAACGACUGGACUAAAGGUAUCCUCAUAAUAUAAUCCGUACCUUUGUUUAAAACCUUUUGCAACUAAUCUAGCCUUGUAUCUAUCUAUGCUACCAUCUGCUUUCUUCUUAAUUCGAUACGUCCACUUACAAUCAAUUACAUUUUUACCAUGACUAGCUGGAACUAGAUGCCAUGUUUUGUUAUUCAUUAAUGCCGAGUAUUCAGUGUCCAUUGCCUUUCUCCAGUUCGUACUCUCUAAUGCUUCUUGUACACUUUGUGGCUCACUUGUGGGCUCACCUGUUGAACAAAAUGAUCCAAAUUUAACUCUGAAUUUUUUUCAUACCGUACUAUACCAUCUUUAGGUUGUAGAGAUUUGUGUAUCCCAGAUUGAGAUCGUGUACGGCCGCGUACAAGGGGUCCAGCCGGUGCCGCAAAAGAUCCGGGCGCUGCUCCAGCCGGUCCACAACAACGCCAUUGAUCUCUUGCCCACCUGCCGCAGAAGAUCCCGCGGGCUCAGCAGGCGAGGCCGACCCGCCAGAUCCUCCUGAUCUUACCCUCAAAAGAAAAAAGAUCCUCCUGAUCUGUCGGGCACGGGCGAGCGAGGACUCACGCGCUUUUUUUUUGGUGGGUGUCCGCGGGCCCACGCGCUGAACUGCAUGCAGGAGACCGAUUUGCAUGCGGGAGGCAGGCGAACACGCGGCUUACCCUCAAAAAAAAAAAAAAC
rnacentral:lncRNA from 1 species